CGUGCAGGCGGUUCUGAAAGUCGGACGUGAAAGCUCCCGGCCCAACUGGGAGAGGCCGUUCGAAACUAUGGGACUAGAGGAUGGUAGAGGCAAGUGGAAUUCCCGGUGUAGUGGUGAAAUGCGUAGAUAUCGGGAGGAACACCAGCGGCGAAGGCGGCUUGCUGGGCCAUCACUGACGCUCAGACGCGAAAGCCAGGGGAGAGAACG
rnacentral:rRNA from 1 species